UUCCCGAGGGUCCACGCCGCCGAAUUGGCGAG
rnacentral:sRNA from 1 species